rnacentral:lncRNA from 1 species
UGUUCCAUGUUCGUUAUUUCAAAUUUCGGUCCAAGGUUCGUUGUCAUGUCGUUUUAAUGACAGUGACAACCCCCAUAUUUCGUUCUCAAAAUGGUGGUGGUAAUAUUAUAAAAGGCAAUUACAGAGCCCAUAAGGCCUUAUCUAUUUCCAGACUUUCAUUCUCUUAGGUUUUCGGGAUACGGCCACCGUUCUCCCUCCGGGAGUUUCAACAAUCCUCAAAUCGCCGGCGAUAGAAUAACGAGGACAUGUCAUCCAUGUUGCACCCACAUCAUCAAGACUGCAACGACCAACAUCCGUAGGCCUGGUGGAAUACAACACCUACAACCCCAGAGCCCGUUGCAGAACCAGCAGCAGUACCAUUCAACAUCAAGAAGUUAUCAUCAGAUACCAAAAGCCAUAAGUAUAAUCAGGAACUGUUAGUUUUUGGCAAGAAUUUGAAUAUAUUUGUUAAUGCAAUUUACUAAGUCAUAUUUUUAUUAUAUCUUUAUUGAACAAUAAACAUGAUUAGUUAAAAUAA